UGUUUGGAACAUAAGACCAAACAAAACACGCACCCCACACUGCCUCCCUCUUUUCUCUGUGCAUAUUCAAACCCUAAUCCUCUAACCAACACACACAAACGUGGAGCAUAACUUCAUUUUCUUCAUUUCUCUCUUUCAAGAAGACCCAAAUACCCACACCACAAAACCACUCCCUCCCUCUCUCUCAAAUCCGGCGACUGGAGGUGAUCUCCGGCCGGUUAUUCCGGAGAGUAGAACGAGAAGGAGAUCGGAGAGAAGGAGCAGGAGAGAGAGAGAGACGGCGAAGGGUUUCGGCGCCGCCUCGGCGACGGCUGUGGCGGUGGAUCUUGACGACGGCGGCUGUAGCCGCCGGAGAUGACGACGGCGGUGGCGGUGGCGGUGGUCGCUGUUUCAGUGGAGGAGCUCUCGGGUCAGGAUUCGGGAGCUCGGGUCAGAUUCAAGUAUGGUUCAGUUUCAGUUUUGGUGGUGUUUCAGGUGGUGGAGUACUGGUGUUUCAGAUUGUGGGUAGUUCUCAGAUUUUAGUUCGGGUCAGCCGCGGUUCGGGCUUCAGUUCAUCAAGUUCAAGUUUUGGUUUUUGAGCUGUAACUAAUGGUCCUGGAAUAUUAACGUCUGUGCUAGAAUAUGACAACAAAAUUAUGGAUAACUCCUUUCUUAGCCACUUAUCACCCAGGGAGGAGAUGACAAUUGCAAGGUUUUGUUUUAGAUAAAUAUUGAAAAUUAAAAAUCGAGAUAAAUGAAAAAUGUAGUAAUAUCGGAACUGUUUAGUGGGCGCUUUUUUUCUAAUCGAAUCGUCGUUUUGGUUGUGUUACGACUUUAUUUUUACAUUUUAUUUAAAGCUUGCUAUGAUA